rnacentral:rRNA from 1 species
UACGAGGGGUGCAAGCGUUGCUCGGAAUUAUUGGGCGUAAAGGGCGCGUAGGCGGCUGUACAAGUCAAAGGUGAAAUCCCUCGGCUCAACUGAGGAACUGCCUUUGAAACUGUACGGCUUGAGGCCGGGAGGGGGUAGCGGAAUUCCCAGUGUAGCGGUGAAAUGCGUAGAUAUUGGGAGGAACACCAGUGGCGAAGGCGGCUACCUGGACCGGUUCUGACGCUGAUGCGCGAAAGCGUGGGUAGCAAACAGG